GAUGGAACUCAAACAGUAGCAUUGACAUA
rnacentral:sRNA from 1 species